ACGGGUGAGUAACACGUAGGUAACCUGCCUAUGAGACCUGGGAUAACUAUCGGAAACGAUAGCUAAGACCGGAUAAUUGGUUUUCUCGCAUGAGAGAAUUAUGAAACACGGAGCAAUCUGUGGCUUAUAGAUGGGCCUGCGGCGCAUUAGCUAGUUGGUAGGGUAACGGCCUACCAAGGCGACGAUGCGUAGCCGACCUGAGAGGGUGAACGGCCACACUGGGACUGAGACACGGCCCAGACUCCUACGGGAGGCAGCAGUAGGGAAUCUUCCGCAAUGGACGCAAGUCUGACGGAGCAACGCCGCGUGAGUGAUGAAGGUUUUCGGAUCGUAAAGCUCUGUUGCCCUAGACGAACAGCAAGGAGAGUAACUGCUCUUUGUGUGACGGUAUAGGAGAAGAAAGCCCCGGCUAACUACGUGCCAGCAGCCGCGGUAAUACGUAGGGGGCAAGCGUUGUCCGGAAUUAUUGGGCGUAAAGCGCGCGCAGGCGGUCAAUUAAGUUGGGUGUUUAAGCCCGGGGCUCAACCCCGGUUCGCAUCCAAAACUGGUUGACUUGAGUGUAGGAGAGGAAAGUGGAAUUCCACGUGUA
rnacentral:rRNA from 1 species